CAUGUCAAUGUUAAACAUGUAAAUACUUACAUUUAUAUAUACAUUCCAAAGUUUAACUUCAAUUUGACUGUGAACAUGGACUUGGUUGUGAUUUUUUUCUGCUCUGAUUCUCUCCCUCAUACCAUACUGUCAAGUUUACUGACAAUCUUUUGAAACGUUAUUAACAGACAAGAAUCUCUCCCUGUGAAUUCUUUGUUGAGGAGAUACUAGCUUGGUUGUACUACGCAGAAUCUAUGAAUGUCCUUGCAGUGAAUGCAGUUCAUUGUGUGCCCAUGGUAUUAUCUGUUCCCCUUUUAUCAUAUAAGAUGUUCACACUGCAUUGGAUGAACAAAUGAGAAUGCUGCAUGAUCAUAUGAUUUACUCAUGUACAUACUUUAAUUUUUUUUAGUGCUUUUUCUGGAAUAAAUACAAUUUGACCUUAAUUACAUUUACUGAUGAAAUCUGACAUAGUUUAAAAACUUGAUCUGAUGUUAAACUCGCUAUUGUACAUUUCUUUCUGUCGUUGACUUGGAAUGAAGCCUGUUGUCAUGGUGACAUAUGUAAGAGGAUGUUCCGCUCUGUAGAAUCUCAGCACUCUAGCUCCCUAGCCUCUUGUGUAUGUCUGUCUGUGUGACCGACUAGAUCUUGUUAAUCAUUAGAAACUGACCAAUAAACAGUUAACAGUCCU
rnacentral:misc_RNA from 1 species